rnacentral:tRNA from 1 species
UUAAUUGAAGCCAAAGUUGAGGCCUUUCAUUGUUAAUGAAAUUAAUGGUGUUUAUAACCCAAUUAAA